rnacentral:rRNA from 1 species
GAUGAACGCUAGCGGCAGGCCUAACACAUGCAAGUCGAGGGGGUAGAGUUCUUCGGGACUUGAGACCGGCGCACGGGUGCGUAACGCGUAUGCAAUCUACCUUAUACAGGGGGAAUAGCCCCAGAGAAAUUUGGAUUAAUGCCCCAUAGUGUUAUCGAAUCGCAUGGUUUGAUAACUAAAGUUCCAACGGUAUAAGAUGAGCAUGCGUCCCAUUAGUUAGUUGGUAAGGUAACGGCUUACCAAGACAAUGAUGGGUAGGGGUCCUGAGAGGGAGAUCCCCACACUGGUACUGAGACACGGGCCAGACUCUACGGGAGGCAGCAGUGAGGAAUAUUGGUCAAUGGGCGCAAGCCUGAACCAGCCAUGCCGCGUGCAGGAAGACGGUCCUAU